rnacentral:tRNA from 1 species
AAAAUAAUAAGUUAAAAAAUUAAACUAAUACCCUUCAAAGGUAGAAAUAGUUACGUAAAACUUUAUUUUA